CAUAAGCCAGGCCUCAGAUUCUCUGCCUUUGUCAUGUCCACAGCCCUUCACAGAAGACACCCUGGGCAACCUCCACUUGCAGGCCCCAGCCUGCUCGAGCCCAUGAGUCAGAUCUUCCUCACCUGAAAGUGUACCUGAAGCCUCAGCCCCAACAGUCAGCAGUGAAGUCUUGGAGCCUGUAAAGCUUUGGAUAAACAACAUCACCAACCCGGGCUGGCCUCAACCUGGCAGCUGGGAACCAGGAGUACAGUGGAGACAGCGAUGGCUGAAAAGCCAGGCGUAUCUGGAAGGCCAGUAACAGAAUACUGUGAAAGAAUAAGUGCUGUGAGUCCAUCCUGCUGCCACUAAACCUUCCAAGUACCUGGCCAGCCCGUAACUAUGGGAGCAGUGCAGAGGCUGAGUACACAGCCCUGGCAGACUGCUGAGAGAUGCUGCAGAAACAUGGACUUCUCAUGGACCGUCCAGAUCUCAGGUGCUUCACUGGUUAGUAAGUCUUAGUUAACCCUAUCCUUCCUUGUGAGUGCCUGCUAAGUCUCAAUAAACCUUACCUUUUAUAGA